CCCUCCAUCUCACCCCCCAACUUCCCUCCCUAUCAAUCUCCCCCCUUCCAACUUCUCUCCUUUCUUACCUCCCUCGCUCCUAACUUCCUCCCAUCUCCCAACCUCCCUGCUUCCUAUCCCCUUCCUAACUUCCCUCCCAACCUUUAGUAGCUAAGUGUAGUAGUGAUGUUUGCAUUUUCUUUUUUCAAGUUUUGCCUUUUUCUCUUACUCUCAGAAUUGAAGGACACCACAAGUCAAACCUUCCUACUCUGUUUUGUUAAGGCUAGUUUGAGAUCCACGUUGAAAGUGAGAGGCUGAGAUGACAAGCAAGGAAAGGACCAGGAAGUAUAGGGAGAGGCUGAAUAACAAUCCUCAAAGGAGAGAGAACAUUCUGAGAGAGAUGCAGAAAAUAUCAGGAGAAGAAAGCAUGCGGGAAAAUUGUUCAGCUCAGUGUGAAGUCUGUGUCGCCAACAACAAGGA